AUACUCGAGAAAAGUUCGAGAGAAAGAGGCGGAGGCCGUUCGCUGGUUGCUUUGAAAAACGUUGCUGCCUGGUUGAGAUUUCUAAAAUCGUCGUUUCCGUCCAAUUUACCCUUUUUAAUUUACCCCUGAAAAUAGCGUUCUUUGCUUAUUUUGCAUCACUUUGAAGUUUCGAAUUAUCACGUGAAAUUUGCGCGCAAAGAAGGGAAAGUACAGUUCAUUUGGAAAUCAUUUCAGUCCCUCGAUGCUCUUCUCUGCUUUCCCUUCAAAUAUAAUUUUCACUUUUCGUUUUCAGAUCAGAAAUUAGAAUUUUCUAAUUAUAAGUCAUAUCACCGAUAAUUUCCACCAAUUCGUGUAUUAUUUUUAACGAAAGAAAUGUAAACUCUUCUCAUUUUCAUCCAUUUUCAAAAGAUAUAAUAACGAUUCAAAAAGGAAUAACAUCCCAAUCUUUAAAAUUCUAUAUUUAAUGCUCAUACGUGAAAACGUAUACGUUUAAAUUUCUCUGCCAAAUUUUUCUAACCAUUCUUCUUUUUCACUUCUGUUCCAGGUAAGUGGACCGAAGGGGAUAAAGCGAAAGGUCGUUUUAUCGACUUGUUUCACUUGGAACGGUGACAAAAUUUGCAUUUCGGCCGAGAUAGCCGCGAUUAAUUGGGUUAAUAAGGAAACCGGCCAAAAGCUGAUCGAUAUUCACUUUGAACGGGGCGCAUUAUCGGGCCCGAUCUAUCAAUAUUUCAUUUUUGCCGGGGUGAAUUUCGAACUUGUGUCGACGCAGGGAGGAAGAGGGUUGAUUCCACCGAAUAAUUGAACAGGGUAAACCGGAGUCAAAUUUAACGCUUCCGUCCUGCUCGUGAGCCAUGGUUGACGAGUGGAUUACGUACGCCGAGGAAAUUGCUUGUCAAUAUUCCACGGAACGCGUGAAGGGCUCGUGAGAAAUGGUACUUUUCCAAUAUGGUGUAUUGCGGUAAGGCUGGAAAUUCGUGUAUAUAUAUAUAAAAUAUUUAAUACGAUGUCGGAUGUAUCAUCUUAUUUUCUUUUGGCUUCUUUUAUGGAUAUUGUAAUUUUCUGAAAAAUUAAAUUUUUAAUUUUUUCAUCGAGGAUAUACGAUUCUUGGAUGCUUAAACAGCUUGGAUCUUUUUAAAUAUUUUGCUGUCGUUGUUCUCCUUUUUAAUUAACAAUCUCGUUUCAUAUUUGGAGCUCAUUUUAUUUUUUAUUGAUUGAAUUGAAAUACAUAUUAGGUUAGAAAGAAAACAAUAAUAAUUGAAUAAUAUGGAGAAAAAAAGGAUUUCUCAUCAGCAUAAUCGCGAAUGGAAAAAUGGGAGAAGAGGUAAGCAGUUGUUCGAAGUGAUAACAUGGAGCUUCGAGUGCGAAGAUAUUGUUCCUGGACCGUAUAUUUGAGAGAAAAGUGGUGGAAAAUCCAAAUGGUGAUAGAAAACAGAUCGCAAGAAACCGCGAAUAGCUUUCUAAGAAGAACGAAAAGAAUGGGACGAAAAAAAAGAGAGGGAGAAAGAAAGAAAUGAAAAAAGUGGAGAGAGAGAGAGAGAGAGAGAGAGAAAAAAGAAAGGAAUGAGACGGAGUGAACAGAACUCUUAAAAAUCUCAGUCGCUUGAAAAACAGUCUUGGAAGUUGGUACAAGUGAUCUUUUACCGCGGAUGUACAACUGAAGUAACUUUUAAAAAAGUUAUCGAAGCUUUAAGUACAAUCGAGUGCGUGAAAUAUAGGCAGUGGAAGAGGUUGCUGAAAGUUGCGAUAGAAUGCAGGGGAAAAAAAUAAAUAAAUAAAUAAAUUCCAUCUUUCAGUCACAUUCAGAUUUAUUACUUAGAAACACGAGAUGAAAUUGUAUUUUCUUAUUAGAAAUUAAAUUUUAUUUAUCUAUUUAUUUUCAAUCAAUACUUAACGAAUAUUCCUAUUCAAUAAAUAUAUAAUCCAAGGGUAAUUCUACAAAUUGAAUAUUAUAUUAUAUAAUUCUUCGUAAAAAGAGGAAGGAAAAGAAUUCCAAGAAUUAAUUUCCAUCUAAAUUAAAUUUUUCUCUAAAUAAAAAAAAAAAAGAAAGAAAAAAUGUAUCUUCUCGAGAUCUCGAAACAGUUUUUUCCCCUCCCAAAUUGAAUUACACCUUGAUCACGCGUUUAAUCGCGUCAAAAUUUCAUUAAAAGGUGUGUCCAGCGUUCUGAAACGUUAUUAAAGCUCAAACUUGUGAAUCUAUUAACCGGCUCGAUAUAUACACACGUCUGUACGUAUACACAGAUUCCCGAGGGAUAGGUUCGACGGCUCGCUAUUUGACGAUCAGCAGCACGGUGUUAUUAAAGGAGAAAUGAAAGCGUGGCUUGCCCCAAGGCAAUGGAAAGAUUAAUCUUUUUAACAGAUGCGUUGGACACGUGAACCGCACGCCGAAUCGUGGUUUAUCGAUAAUGUACCGAACGUUUUUCCUUUGGCCAAUGAUGCGUUUAUAAAUUUUCUUUUCCUUUUUCCUCUUCUUAAUGUGGAAAAAAAUGUUUCUUCUUAGUUCCUCUCUAGGUGAUUUAGUGUUUUACCAGAUUGAAAAAGAUGAUCGAAGUUUAAACAUUGUCGAGAAUUAGAAAAGGAUUAAAAAAGAAAUUUAUAAUUGAAAUGAUAGAUGCAAGAUGUUCACCCAACAAGAGAAUGUAUAAUAAUUUCAUUCAACUACUUUCGAAUUUUAUUAUUAUACAAUCUGCCCUAUCUCGAAUUUCACGAUUCCAUUAAAAGGGCAACUUCAUCGUACGAUAUUUCUUUUUAUAUCUUUUUAUCGUGAAUAAUUUUACAAACCUCUUUGUUCCGCCGCUACACGGCGCAAACACUAAAUUAUCGAAAACGUUAAUUAUCAUAAUUGCAAAAUUAUUCGAGGCUCUGCCUUUUGAAGAGAGGAGGUGGCAUUUCGCCAACGUUGCAGCUAGUGGCCUAGGUUUAGGCUGACAUUAGCGCGUAGCGCUAACCGCAGAACGUUUGACGAAGACACAGGAAACAUUACGAGUCAAAAUCGAGUUCUGGCAGAGAACGUUUGACAAAGGUGAACGGAGAUCCGUUUCCAGGUCGGAAUCGAGUUAUCGGAGGCGUUCAGCCCAGUUUGCGUCGAAAUCGGGUUGCCAAAGCUACAAUUCCUUUCAUGCGCCAUUUUUUAACCACGCGAUACUUUCGUUCCAUCGUUCGUUGACCCCUUUGAGACCUCGCUCGUCCGUUCAUUUUAUGGAAAAUUAUUUCCCUCCUGUUUUUAUUUUCGAACAGUAAUUCGUAUUCUUCUUUUUUUUUUCAUCGAAAUGUUUUUAAUCUCUUAUUUUAUUUUUUUUUUAUCAAAAAGAUAUCCGAAAAAUGGAAAAUCAAAUAGAGAAAUGUAGUUUUAUAUAUAUAUAAAAGAUAAUUCGCGGGCGGCCAGAAAUUUAAUACGAAUGUCCGAAACAAUCGCGAAACAAAAUAUCCUUUCAACUUUUAAUUUUCUGUCUAAUAGACAAAAUUUUUUAAAUCUUAAUCGAGGAAAUUAUUAAAAGAAAGAAAGAAAUAAAUAUUGUAGUACUCCAUCUGAAUAAUAAUGAAAACUUAAUAACUCGAAGAGUAUCAAAUUAGUUACAAUAAUGGAUAUAAGAAAAAUUGGAAUUCUUUUAUUUUUAAAAGUAGAUUGAUCAUCUGACUCGAUAUUUCUCAUUGAUCAAAACAUCUUGAAGAAAUAUAAAUGUCAGGUGAUCGAUAAAAAGUAAUUAAAAAUUAAAAACAAAUCUAAUAUUACAUCGACGAGGGUGAAAAAAAUAUUUCAAUUCGAAGGAUUCAAGAUCAGUGCAAACGCGAGCCGGGUUAUAAUCACCAGUGAUGGUUAUGGUGGUACAUGAAAAGGGUGGAAAUAAAGUUAGAGAACAGACAUUUAAAUUUCGCAGCUCAACUUUCAUUUACGCGUGAAACUACCCUCCGAUUCGCUUUAUCUUUUUUUUUUUUUAUUUCUUUGUUGAAGGAUUCGCAUUCCUCUUUCACUGUAUUUUUUUUUACUUCUCGCGAAAUUCUUGAUCUUUCUCUUUCUCGCCAAUCUUGAUUAAUUUUUCUUCAAAAAUCUUUAAACGAUUCCUACAAUUUAAAUAUUUUAUGCGAAAUAUUUCCAAAUUGAUAAAUAUGUUUCGCACAAGCGUGUCAGAUCUUAUGACUGGAACUAAAUCGGAAUCUUUUCUUUGUUAUGAUAUAUAUUUUUAUAUAUUUUUGUGCGAAUUACGUAUUGAGAGAAAUUUGUUUUUAAAACUGAUUUUAUAUUUUCACAUGGCGCAUUUUAUCUCAGGGGAAAAGUUGACAAGUCUUCACUGCUCGAAAAAUGAAGUUGAAGAAAUAUUUGUGUCUCAAGUGGACAUCAAAAAAUUGUUUUCUUCCAUUGUCCCUCUUUGAUCAUUUAUUUUCUUUCUUCGAGAAAAUAUUUUCUUAUUUGGAAAAAAAAUUUGUAUAUUUCUUAAAAUUUCUUAUAUUUCUAUAUUCUUUACUAAAUAAAAAAUGAUACAAGGAAUUGGAUAAAUCCUAUGGGAGCAAUCUCUACUCUGCCUCGCAGUUUGCCGCCAUUUUGAUACGAAGAAACACUCGUAACGUGAAAAGAGACAAAACUGAGAUCGUGUAUACGUGUGUACGUGUUUUCUCUUCCAUUUUCCAGCAGACCAUAAUCCAAUAAGAAUAAUAAUCUUGAUUAUUGAACUUUUAUGUUACCAUAUUGAAAUUUUGAAUUUUUCAAUUUUCGAGCUAACCAAAUUCUAGAAUAUUUAAAUCGUCAAUUUUUAAAAUACUCAAAUAACAAUCCAUCCAAAUUCCAAAUCACUGACCCAUCUACUAAUUCUUCAACCAACAACAGACUUCCAAACUUCCCAAACUUGAAACCAUCCAAUCCCUCUCCAAUCUCUUCAAACUCCACAGUAACAAAAUCCCAUUUAACCACUCAAACUGUCAUCCAACGAACGAACUGUUGGAGGAAAUCCAUUCAUUUUCUAUCCAUCCCUCUAUCUCCCGGAACAUCCGCUCUUCGAACCAUUCGAGUAUAUAUAUAUAUAUAUAUACGUAUCAUCCGGUGUUUCUUUUCAAUCUCUCAAUUCUUUUACUUUCCAAGCAACAAGAAUAUUUCUCUUUCGUUUAAUUCGAACGUUUCACAAGCACAAUACCAGCGAUCAAGUUUCAUUUCCCAUCGCGCGGAAAACUCUUCGUCCAACCCUCCACCGAUCGACUUCCUCCUCCACUUCCUUCCCUUCAUUUUCCUUCCAUCAUCUUCCUUUUUCCUUUUCUCCCCUUCCCAUUCUCUUCUUCCUUCCAUUAUACAACUUAUUUCUUACUUAACGAAGCCGAGUCGAUUUUUUUCUUCUUUUUCUUUUUUCUUUUUUUUUUUUUUU